UUUCGAAUCAUUCACAAUGGGCGAAAGCCUGAUGGUGCAACGCCGCGUGGGGGAUGAAGGUCUUCGGAUUGUAAACCCCUGUCACCAAGGAUAAACCGUAAUCUAUUAAUACUAGGUUGCCUGAUGUAACUUGGAGAGGAAGGAGUGGCUAACUCUGUGCCAGCAGCCGCGGUAAUACAGAGACUCCAAGCGUUAUUCGGAUUCACUGGGCGUAAAGGGUGCGCAGGCGGCCAGAUGUGUCAGAGGUGAAAUACUGCAGCUUAACUGUAGAACUGCCUUUGAAACUAUCUGGCUAGAGUAUCGGAGAGGUAAGCGGAAUUCCAGGUGUAGCAGUGAAAUGCGUAGAUAUCUGGAGGAACACCGAAGGCGAAGGCAGCUUACUGGACGAUUACUGACGCUCAGGCACGAAAGCAUGGGGAGCGAAAGGGAUUAGAUACCCCCGUAGUCC
rnacentral:rRNA from 1 species